CAGAAGUUUAAAGAAGAUCAGACUUAUGAAGGAAAAGGAAUGAAAUAUCUACUUGAAAAAAAGAACUUUUCAGUACAAGAGCAAAUUCAAGGACGAUUGAGCAUGUUGAUUACUCCAUAUCCAAGAAUGAAGGUUGGAUUACCAUUUUGUAUUAGCUACUGGAACAUGAAGAGGCUGGGCACAUCAGUGGCAGGUAGACACAGACGAC